CCUACGGGGGGCAGCAGUGAGGAAUAUUGGUCAAUGGGCGCAAGCCUGAACCAGCCAAGUAGCGUGAAGGAUGACUGCCCUAUGGAUUGUAAACCUCUUUUAUCAGGGACUAAAGCGGGCCACGUGUGCCGUUAUGUAUGUACUUUAUGAAUAAGGAUCGGCUAACUCCGUGCCAGCAGCCGCGGUAAUACGGAGGAUCCGAGCGUUAUCCGGAUUUAUUGGGUUUAAAGGGAGCGUAGAUGGGAAGGUAAGUCAGUUGUGAAAGUUUGCGGGUCAAACGUAAAAUUGCAGUUGAUACUGGCAGUCUUGAGUACAGGUGAGGUAGGCGGAAUGCGUGGUGUAGCGGUGAAAUGCAUAGAUAUCACGAAGAACUCCGAUUGCGAAGGCAGCUUACUAAACUGCCACUGACAUUGAGGCUCGAAAGUGUGGGGAUCAAACAGGAUUAGAUACCCGGGUAGUC
rnacentral:rRNA from 1 species